rnacentral:rRNA from 1 species
CCUACGGGAGGCUGCAGUGAGGAAUAUUGGUCAAUGGACGCAGGUCUGAACCAGCCAAGUAGCGUGAAGGAUGACUGCCCUAUGGGUUGUAAACUUCUUUUAUAAAGGAGUAAAGCGAGCCACGUGUGCCGUUUUGCAUGUACUUUAUGAAUAAGGAUCGGCUAACUCCGUGCCAGCAGCCGCGGUAAUACGGAGGAUGCGAGCGUUAUCCGGAUUUAUUGGGUUUAAAGGGUGCGUAGGUGGGUUGUUAAGUCAGGCGUUAAAUUUUGCGGCUCAACCGUAGACGUGCAAUUGAUACUGGCAGUCUUGAGUGCACUAGAGGUAAGCGGAAUGCGUGGUGUAGCGGUGAAAUGCAGAGAUAUCACGAAGAACUCCGAUUGCGAAGGCAGCAUACUAA